UUGCCUCAGUAACGGCGAGUGAAGCGGCAUAAGCUCAAAUUUGAAAUCUGGCUCUUUCAGGGUCCGAGUUGUAAUUUGUAGAAGAUGCUUCGGGUGUGGUCCCGGUCUAAGUUCCUUGGAACAGGACGUCAUAGAGGGUGAGAAUCCCGUAUGUGACUGGGUGCCUAUGCUCAUGUGAAGCUCUUUCGACGAGUCGAGUUGUUUGGGAAUGCAGCUCAAAAUGGGUGGUAUAUUUCAUCUAAAGCUAAAUAUUGGCCAGAGACCGAUAGCGCACAAGUAGAGUGAUCGAAAGAUGAAAAGCACUUUGGAAAGAGAGUUAAACAGUACGUGAAAUUGUUGAAAGGGAAGCGCUUGCAAUCAGACUUGCGCCUGGUUGAUCAUCCGGGGUUCUCUCCGGUGCACUCGAUCAGGCUCAGGCCAGCAUCGGUUUGGGUGGUUGGAUAAAGGCCUUGGGAAUGUGGCCCCUCUUGGGGGGUGUUAUAGCCCUCGGUGCCAUGCAGCCUACCUGGACCGAGGACCGCGCUUCGGCUAGGAUGCUGGCGUAAUGGUUGUAAGCGACCCGUCUUGAAACACGGACCAAGGAGUCUAACAUCUAUGCGAGUGUUUGGGUGUCAAACCCAUACGCGUAAUGAAAGUGAACGGAGGUGAGAACCCUUCAGGGUGCAUCAUCGACCGAUCCUGAUGUCUUCGGAUGGAUUUGAGUAAGAGCAUAGCUGUUGGGACCCGAAAGAUGGUGAACUAUACGUGAAUAGGGUGAAGCCAGAGGAAACUCUGGUGGAGGCUCGCAGCGGUUCUGACGUGCAAAUCGAUCGUCAAAUUUGCGUAUAGGGGCGAAAGACUAAUCGAACCAUUGGAAAGCUACUAGGUGGUUAAGAGGUAUGCGAGAGAGGUACUUAGUCCCCUCCCCAGGGGGCAACAUCGCCAAAUUGACGGGGAAAUCCUGCUAGAAUUCUAGGCUACCGCAGCCCCAGCCGAAAGGCGGGGCGCGCACCGGGCUAACGACCCCGGGGAUGGUAACAACGCCUAGAUAGGGAUCACCCGCAGCCAAGUCCUACAGGCGCUUUCAGCGCUACGGAUGCAGUUCACAGACUAAAUGGUGGUGGGUUCAGGCCUAAAGGGCCCUGAGCCUAAGUUAUAGUCGAACCCCCGAGAGA
rnacentral:rRNA from 1 species